UAGUUAUGUUCUUUAAACCUAAAGAAUUUGGCGGUAAUUUAGUCUAUUCAGAGGAAUUUGUCCCUUAAUCGAUAAUCCUCGUUUUAUCUUACUUAUUUUUGUAUAUCAGUAUGUAUACCGCCGUUAUAAGUUUAUUUUAUUAGAAUAUUAAUUUACUUUAAAUAUAAUUUUAUUUUAUUUCAGGUCAAGGUGCAGUUUAUAGUUAAGUGGAGGUGAAUUACAAUAUUAUUUAAAUAUACGGAUUUAUUAUUUAAAACUAAUUUGAAGGUGGAUUUGAUAGUAAUGUUUUUUAUAAUAUUUAUUUGAUUUUAGCUCUAAAUUAAGUACACAUCGCCCGUCGCUCUA
rnacentral:rRNA from 1 species